CAUCUGUCUCAUGUUUUUAAGAAGUGUCCAGUGCAGCCCAAAGCAAAAAGUACACUCUCAAGAAAGGGGAGCUUGGGCAUACCCAAGAGAGAAUAAUGGGUUCUGGGGUUUCAUCUUGAUGGGUUUCUUUAACCAAGGAGUGGAAUGUUCACGAAAUGUUGUGGUGGUUGUUUUGUUUUUUAAGAGUUGAAGUUUCUCCAUGUUGCCCAGGUUGGUCUCCAACUCCUGGACUCAAAUGAUCCGCCCUACCUCAGCCUUCUAAAGCACUGGGAUUACAGGUGUGAUCCAUCAUACCUGGCCAGCCCCUGCUUUUCACUAUAGCAUCCAUGGGAGUUUCUAGGAUUUCCGUGCUGGGGGGAACGUGCACUCAGCUCAUAGAGCCAAGUAGUAAUUGUACUUGGAACUGGUAGCUACUCAUGAGGCUGAGGCGGGAGAAUCCUGUGAACAUGGGAAGUGGAAGUUGCAGUGAGCUGAUGUCAAAAAAAAUUUAUUUCACUUUAUUUUAGUCUCCUCCUCCCAAAGUGCUGGGACUACAGGCAUGCACCACCUGGUCCAGCCCAUUUUAAUGUUUUUAACUUAAAUACACAUUAGAUGGCACUGAUAAAGAUGUAUUCUGGAAACCCUGAAGCCUUCACUGAAAAAGCAAAAGGAGGGAAAGAAGUCAGGGAGUGGUGGACCAGAAGAAAGAAAGAGUUAUACCUAAUAAGCCAACAAAGGAAAGAAAAUGGAAUGAUAUAAAAACCAUGUAAUCACUAUGCUGGAACAACUGCUCUCCAUGCACUCCAGCCUGGGAGACAGUGAAACCCUGCCUCAAAAAAAAAAAGCCCACCGUUAGGGCUGGGCAGGGUGGCUCAUGCCUGUAAUCCUAGCACUUGGGGAGGCCAACCUCGGGUUGAUCACCUGAGGUCAGAAGUUCAAGACCAGCCUGGCCAAUAUGGCGAAACCCCAUCUCUAUUAAAAUACAAAAAAAUGAGCCAGGCAUGGUGGCGGGUGCCUGUAAUCCCAGGUACUUGGGAGGCUGAGGUAGGAGAAUCGCUAGAACCCUAGUAGGGGAGAUUGCAGUGAGCCGAGGUUGCGCCACUGCACUCCAGCCUGGGCAACAGAGCGAGACUCCGUAUCCAAAAAAAAAAAAAUCCUACACGUAAAAGGUCACCAAGGCUAGCAAAAAUCACCUGGUGGCCAUAAAGCAGACCAUCCAGAGGCAAAACUCCUUAUCUGAGGAAUUUAGAGGCAAUUAGAGUUCCUUACUAUCUAAAGCAAGAAUCUAGUUCCAGGCUUCUUUCCCAAAAAUUUAUAAGUAACUAGAAUGUCUGCUUUUUUUUUUUUUUUUUUUGAGACAGAGUCUUGCUCUGUUUCCCAGGCUGGCGUGCAGUGGCACAAUCUCGGCUCACUGCUACCUCCAUCUCCUGGGUUCAAGCAAUUCUCUGCCUCAGCCUCCCAAGUAGCUGGAAUUACAGGUGCCCGCCACCAUACCCAGCUAAUUUUCGUAUUUUUAGUAGAGACAAGGUUUCACCAUCUUGGCCCGGCUGGUCCUGAACUCCUGACCUCGUGAUCCACCGCCUUGGCCUCCCAAAGUGCUGGGAUUACAGGCAUGAGCCACCGUGCCCAGCCAGUAACUAGAAUUUCUAUACAUCUCUGGAAUACAUGCCUAUCAAAACUUGUGCAACCCUUGCUCACAUUAAGGCACCAAAAUGUCUACAAAUGUAGUACAUUGUGAGCCACCACAACCGGCCUACAAGUUUUUUUUUUUUAAUCAUUGGGUCAGGAGUGAAUUGUUGGGCUGGUGGAUGAUGUCUGUAAUCCCAGCACUUCGGGAGGCCGAGGUGGGUGGAUCACUUGAAGUUAGGAAUUCAAGACUAGUCUGGCCAACACACUGAAACCCCACCUCUACUAAAAAUACAAAAAUUAGCUGGGUGUGGUGGCAGGCGCCUGUAAUCCCAGUUACUUGGGAGGCUGAGGCAGGAGAAUUGCUUGAACCCAGGAGGCAGAGGUUGCAGUGAGCCGAGAUUGCGCCAGUGUACUUCAGCCU
rnacentral:lncRNA from 1 species